GAAUGCAUGCAGUAUUUGUUUUGUAAAAGUAAGAAUUCCAGUAAUACCUUUGUUGCCUUGCUAAUGUCCAUCUAGAUCCAUGUCAAAGGACAUAUAAGUAUGUCUUUGGAAGAGAAUGUCAUGAUCUAUAUUAAGAGAUACCUGUUAGUCCAGGAAGCCCUUUUCUGACAAAACAACAUGCUUUCUAUUAUGACUCUAGGCUACAGCUGUGGAUUUCACUCUUCCCUGAGUGAAUGAUCAUGUAGACUUGACCCGAACUACAUUUUCAACAAGUCUUCACAGGAUAAUGUAACAGCCCACACAUGCAGCUCAAGAAACAGAUGAACAAAAUGAAACAAAAACGAAAAAAUGACCCCUCAAUCUACCAUGCCAUUCUUCAGUGACAGUGAUGAAGUGACAGAAAAGUGAGGCCCAAGAUUGGAAGAUGCAUUUUUUUAAAGCACCAGUUCUAUUGUACACAUUUCAGUCAUAGCAGAGUGAUCUAUCUUCAACUUGUGAGUCCAAUAUACAAUCAAAACAAUCUCUGUGAUAGAUCCAUAGAUAAUUUGAUACUUUCAACCAGAAAAGCUUUGUGCCAGCUCAUUCUAGCUACACUUUUCAUGGAGAGUUCUUAACUACAUAUGUGGGCCAAAUAUAAUGUGGAACCAGGAAGAAAGUAUAAUUUCGUCUUCCUCCUUUCCCUCUUUAUCAGGGAUCUCAAAGCAGGUAUACCUUGAAGAUGGUCACGAUGCUAGAGGACUAGAAGAGGAGUAAAUUGGGGAGAGUAGAGAAGACCAAAUAAAAAGCAAAAUUGCAAUUAGUCACGUUUCUAGGGAAAGAUGAUCUCUCCUUCUGUGCCUAGAAUGAAUUUUACAUCAAGCUUCACUACCUAAGGGAUGCUGAUAGACAAAGAUGAUGGAGGUAGAGGUAAAGGCAGUCGGGGAGUGGAGAGAAAGAAGGCAGAAGAAGAAAGACCAAACCCUAGAUGUUCAAACUCCAGGCUUUCAGAAAUAAAACAAACACCUCAUAAAAGCCUGGGUAGAAGAUAAGGCUGCCUAAGGGUAGCUCUAACUUGUGGUGUUGGCCAUUUGCAUAGGAUAUUAGCAAAACAUCUAUUACUGCAUUCAA